GAGAGGAAGGUCCCCCACAUUGGAACUGAGACACGGUCCAAACUCCUACGGGAGGCAGCAGUGAGGAAUAUUGGUCAAUGGACGAGAGUCUGAACCAGCCAAGUAGCGUGAAGGAUGACUGCCCUAUGGGUUGUAAACUUCUUUUAUAUGGGAAUAAAACGUUCCACGUGUGGAAUUUUGUAUGUACCAUAUGAAUAAGGAUCGGCUAACUCCGUGCCAGCAGCCGCGGUAAUACGGAGGAUCCGAGCGUUAUCCGGAUUUAUUGGGUUUAAAGGGAGCGUAGGUGGAUUGUUAAGUCAGUUGUGAAAGUUUGCGGCUCAACCGUAAAAUUGCAGUUGAAACUGGCAGUCUUGAGUACAGUAGAGGUGGGCGGAAUUCGUGGUGUAGCGGUGAAAUGCUUAGAU
rnacentral:rRNA from 1 species